UCCUAGGGGGGUGCACACCCUGAGAAGUUCCAGGGCCCCAGGAACUCCUCUCAUCUCUGCUUCUGUCAAUCCAGAGGCUCUUGCCAUCUCCACCCUAAAUGGGGAACUACAGGAAAUCCCCUGGAUCUGUUCCCUCCAGAGGAUGGGAGACCCCAACUCCCUGCUGCUUUCAGAGAUGAGUGCUCAACAAACUCUCCCAGGCCACUCACAUGGAGGCACCAAAAACUGCUGACUUCCUCAGGCCCAUGGAUUACAUCCCUCAACUAGACAAUCUUGUCAAAGACAUAGUGUCCUGAUGUACCAUUUGCACACAAGUGAACCCCAAAGAAGGAGAAAAAGCUCUGGAAGGAAUUUAUACCCAAGAAAGCACUUCUGGAGAACAUCAGGAAGUGGAAUUUACCCAUGGUUCUCAGUCCUUACAGGCCUGGAAACAGACCUAGAGGACUAACUAUUCAUCAGACAAUUCAAGAGGCUGCACCUUUGCCCAUAUAUGAGCCUGCCUACGAGUUCCAGCCUGGAGACCUUGUGUGAAUAAAGAGAAUCUCAACCCAGAGCCUGGAGCCAACAUAGAAAGGCCUGUGCUCUGUGGUCCUCACCACCCCCACAGCACUGAAGGUCACUGGUCACUUCAUGGAUCCACCAGACCCAGCUGA